rnacentral:rRNA from 1 species
UACGGGGGGAGCAAGCGUUGUUCGGAUUUACUGGGCGUAAAGGGUGCGUAGGUGGCGCUGUAAGUCGGGUGUGAAAUCCUGAGGCUUAACCUCGGAACUGCAUUCGAUACUGCGGUGCUUGAGGACUGGAGAGGAGACUGGAAUUUAUGGUGUAGCAGUGAAAUGCGUAGAGAUCAUAAGGAAGACCAGUGGCGAAGGCGGGUCUCUGGACAGUUCCUGACACUGAGGCACGAAGGCCAGGGGAGCAAACGGG